CCAUUUAUUAUCCUCUUCAGCAGUAUUAACAAAAAAUACCCCCGAACCGGAACGUCUUCUUCUUCAAAGGGAUAAUUAAAAAUUCAAUAGCCCAUUCAAGUAGCAGAUCUAACACCUAAAGACCUACGCAGACAAAAUCCCCUAUCAAUAAUCCUCUCUGAUCCUCUCCAGCGCCAACAACCAUACCCUCACCAACGAACCAGGCCUCCUUCUUCUCCUUCACCACUAAAAACACCAUACCUAUACUUGUUCAUCUUCGUCUCUCCAAAAUAAAGCAACAAGGAUCGAUAAGUUACGCCAUUGACCUUUUCUUCUUCUUCCAAUCGCUGGAAACCAGCCUGAAAAUCAUGCAUACACACACAUACACAUAGGGAGGGAACAUGAUAAAAAAGAUGAACUAAUUUUCUCAUAUCUAAUUCGCAUAGAGGAAACGGAUGGACAAAAAAAAGGCAUGAUUAGCAUUUUCUCUUGGUUCUUGGAUUGUUUAUGUUGCUUCAGCCUUGUCAUGAGAUUAGCUUGUGCAUUCACUGGUG
rnacentral:lncRNA from 1 species